AGUGAACGCUGGCGGUAGGCCUAACACAUGCAAGUCGAACGGCGGCACAGUAAGAGCUUGCUCUUACGGGUGGCGAGUGGCGGACGGGUGAGGAAUACAUCGGAAUCUACUUUUUCGUGGGGGAUAACGUAGGGAAACUUACGCUAAUACCUCAUACGACCUACGGGUGAAAGCAGGGGAUCUUCGGACCUUGCGCGAUUGAAUGAGCCGAUGUCGGAUUAGCUAGUUGGCGGGGUAAAGGCCCACCAAGGCGACGAUCCGUAGCUGGUCUGAGAGGAUGAUCAGCCACACUGGAACUGAGACACGGUCCAGACUCCUACGGGAGGCAGCAGUGGGGAAUAUUGGACAAUGGGCGCAAGCCUGAUCCAGCCAUACCGCGUGGGUGAAGAAGGCCUUCGGGUUGUAAAGCCCUUUUGUUGGGAAAGAAAAGCAGCAGGUUAAUACCCCGCUGUUCUGACGGUACCCAAAGAAUAAGCACCGGCUAACUUCGUG
rnacentral:rRNA from 1 species